GAUGAACGUUGGCGGCGUGCCUAACACAUGCAAGUCGAACGCUAGUAGCAAUAUUAGAGUGGCGCACGGGUGAGUAACACGUAGCUUAUCUACCUCCCAGCGCGGGAUAACGGUUCGAAAGAACUGCUAAUACCGCAUAAGCUCACGAGCUAUAGAGGCUGGUGAGAAAAGGCUUAGGUCACUGGGAGCGGGGGCGUGCGGCCC
rnacentral:rRNA from 1 species